UGCCAGCCGCCGCGGUAAUACGGAGGGAGCUAGCGUUGUUCGGAAUUACUGGGCGUAAAGCGUGCGUAGGCGGAUCGGUCAGUUGGGGGUGAAAUCCCGAGGCUUAACCUCGGAACUGCCCUCAAUACUGCCAAUCUAGAGUCCGGAAGAGGUGAGUGGAAUUCCUAGUGCAGAGGUGAAAUUCGUAGAUAUUCGGAGGAACACCAGUGGCGAAGGCGGCUCACUGGCUCGAUACUGACGCUGAGGUGCGAAAGCGUGGGGAGCAAACAGGAUUAGAUA
rnacentral:rRNA from 1 species